GAUGAACGCUAGCUACAGGCUUAACACAUGCAAGUCGAGGGGUAACAAGAGAAAAGCUUGCUUUUCUUGUUGACUACCGGCGCACGGGUCAGUAACGCGUAUCCAACCUGCCUAUAACUAGGGAAUAACCUUGCGAAAGUAAGACUAAUACCUUAUGAUUUCCUUUGAUGACAUCAGAUUAGGACUAAAGAUUUAUCGGUUAUAGAUGGGGAUGCGUCUGAUUAGCUUGUUGGCGGGGUAACGGACCACCAAGGCAACGACCAGUAGGGGUUCUGAGAGGAAGGUCCCCCACAUUGGAACUGGGACACGGUCCAAACUCCUACGGGAGGCAGCAGUGAGGAAUAUUGGUCAAUGGGCGGAAGCCUGAAUCAGCCAAGUAGCGUGCAGGAUGACGGCCCUAUGGGUUGUAAACUGCUUUUAUACAGGAAUAAAGUUAGCCACGUGUGGUUAUUUGUAGGUACUGUAUGAAUAAGGACCGGCUAAUUCCGUGCCAGCCGCCGCCGUAAAAC
rnacentral:rRNA from 1 species